rnacentral:rRNA from 1 species
UACGGAGGAUCCAAGCGUUAUCCGGAUUCAUUGGGUUUAAAGGGUGCGUAGGCGGAAUGAUAAGUCAGUGGUGAAAGCCUGCAGCUUAACUGCAGAACUGCCAUUGAUACUGUCAAUCUUGAGUACAUUUGAUGUGGGCGGAAUGUGUCAUGUAGCGGUGAAAUGCUUAGAUAUGACACAGAACACCGAUUGCGAAGGCAGCUCACAAAACUUUAACUGACGCUGAGGCACGAAAGCGUGGGUAUCAAACAGG